rnacentral:rRNA from 1 species
CAAUAACAGGUCUGUGAUGCCCUUAGAUGUUCAGGGCCGUACGCGCGCUACACUGAUGCGAUCAACGAGCCUAGCCUUGGCCGAGAGGUCCGGGUAAUCUUGCGAACCGCAUCGUGAUGGGGAUAGAUUAUUGCAAUUAUUAAUCUUCAACGAGGAAUGCCUAGUAAGCGCGAGUCAUCAACUCGCGUUGAUUACGUCCCUGCCCUUUGUACACACCGCCCGUCGCUCCUACCGAUUGGGUGCGCUGGUGAAGCGUUCGGAUUGGUGGCUCCAAGCGGUUCGCCGCCGGGGGCAACCGAGAAGUUUGUUAAACCCUCCCACCUAGAGGAAGGAGAAGUCGUAACAAGGUUUCCGUAGGUGAACCUGCGGAAGGAUC